rnacentral:rRNA from 1 species
GACGAACGCUGGCGGCGUGCUUAACACAUGCAAGUCGAACGGUAAGGCCCUUCGGGGUACACGAGUGGCGAACGGGUGAGUAACACGUGGGUGAUCUGCCCUGCACUUCGGGAUAAGCCUGGGAAACUGGGUCUAAUACCGGAUAGGACUCCUGGCUUCAUGGUUGGGGGUGUAAAGCUUUUGCGGUGUGGGAUGGGCCCGCGGCCUAUCAGCUUGUUGGUGGGGUAAUGGCCUACCAAGGCGACGACGGGUAGCCGGCCUGAGAGGGUGACCGGCCACACUGGGACUGAGAUACGGCCCAGACUCCUACGGGAGGCAGCAGUGGGAAUAUUGCACAAUGGGCGCAAGCCUGAUGCAGCGACGCCGCGUGAGGGAUGACGGCCUUCGGGUUGUUAAACCUACUUUCAAUAGGACGAAGCGACAAGUGACGGUACCUAUAGAAGAAGGACCGG